UACGAAGGGGGCUAGCGUUAUUCGGAAUCACUGGGCUUAAAGCGCGUGUAGGCGGGACGGCACGUCGGUCGCUGAAAUCCCCCGGCUUAACCGGGAACGGGCGCCGAUACGACCGCCCUGGAGGGACGUAGGGGGACCUGGAACUUCCGGUGGAGCGGUGAAAUGCGUUGAGAUCGGAAGGAACGCCCGUGGCGAAAGCGAGGUCCUGGACGUCUUCUGACGCCUGAGAUGCGAAAGCCAGGGGAGCGAACGGG
rnacentral:rRNA from 1 species